CCUACGGGAGGCAGCAGUGGGGGAUAUUGCACAAUGGGGGGAACCCUGAUGCAGCGACGCCGCGUGGGUGAAGAAGCGCCUCGGCGCGUAAAGCCCUGUCAGCAGGGAAGAAAAUGACGGUACCUGAAGAAGAAGCCACGGCUAACUACGUGCCAGCAGCCGCGGUAAUACGUAGGGGGCAAGCGUUAUCCGGAUUUACUGGGUGUAAAGGGGGCGCAGACGGGGAUGCAAGCCAGGAGGGAAAGCCCGGGGGCCAACCCCGGGACUGCUCUUGGAACUGCGUGGCUGGAGUGCAGGAGGGGCAGGCGGAAUGCCUGGUGUAGCGGUGAAAUGCGUAGAUAUCAGGAGGAACACCGGUGGCGAAGGCGGCCUGCCGGACUGCAACUGACGUUGAGGCCCGAAAGCGUGGGGAGCAAACAGGAUUAGAUACCCCUGUAGUC
rnacentral:rRNA from 1 species